UGAGUGAUGAAGGUUUUCGGAUCGUAAAGCUCUGUUGUUAGGGAAGAACAAGUGCAAGAGUAACUGCUUGCACCUUGACGGUACCUAACCAGAAAGCCACGGCUAACUACGUGCCAGCAGCCGCGGUAAUACGUAGGUGGCAAGCGUUGUCCGGAAUUAUUGGGCGUAAAGGGCUCGCAGGCGGUUUCUUAAGUCUGAUGUGAAAGCCCCCGGCUCAACCGGGGAGGGUCAUUGGAAACUGGGAAACUUGAGUGCAGAAGAGGAGAGUGGAAUUCCACGUGUAGCGGUGAAAUGCGUAGAGAUGUGGAGGAACACCAGUGGCGAAGGCGACUCUCUGGUCUGUAACUGACGCUGAGGAGCGAAAGCGUGGGGAGCGAACAGGAUUAGAUACCCUGGUAGUCCACGCCGUAAACGAUGAGUGCUAAGUGUUAGGGGGUUUCCGCCCCUUAGUGCUGCAGCUAACGCAUUAAGCACUCCGCCUGGGGAGUACGGUCGCAAGACUGAAACUCAAAGGAAUUGACGGGGGCCCGCACAAGCGGUGGAGCAUGUGGUUUAAUUCGAAGCAACGCGAAGAACCUUACCAGGUCUUGACAUCCUCUGAC
rnacentral:rRNA from 1 species